rnacentral:tRNA from 1 species
GGGGCGGUAGCUCAGCUGGUUAGAGCAUGGGACUCAUAAUCCCUGGGUCGUCGGUUCGAGUCCGACCCGCCCUA